UACGUAGGUGGCGAGCGUUGUCCGGAUUUACUGGGCGUAAAGAGCGCGCAGGCGGUCGUACAAGUCGCGUGUGAAAGCCCCCGGCUCAACUGGGGAGGGUCACGCGAUACUGUUCGACUCGAAGGCAGGAGAGGGUAGUGGAAUUCCCGGUGUAGUGGUGAAAUGCGUAGAUAUCGGGAGGAACACCAGUGGCGAAGGCGACUACCUGGCCUGUUCUUGACGCUGAGGCGCGAAAGCGUGGGGAGCGAACCGG
rnacentral:rRNA from 1 species